rnacentral:rRNA from 1 species
UACGUAGGGUGCGAGCGUUGUCCGGAUUUAUUGGGCGUAAAGAGCUCGUAGGCGGUUUGUCGCGUCGGCCGUGAAAUCUCCACGCUUAACGUGGAGCGUGCGGUCGAUACGGGGCAGACUUGAGUUCGGUAGGGGAGACUGGAAUUCCUGGUGUAGCGGUGAAAUGCGCAGAUAUCAGGAGGAACACCGGUGGCGAAGGCGGGUCUCUGGGCCGAUACUGACGCUGAGGAGCGAA